AUUGAACGCUGGCGGCAGGCCUAACACAUGCAAGUCGAGCGGAUGAAGGGAGCUUGCUCCUGGAUUCAGCGGCGGACGGGUGAGUAAUGCCUAGGAAUCUGCCUGGUAGUGGGGGAUAACGUCCGGAAACGGGCGCUAAUACCGCAUACGUCCUGAGGGAGAAAGUGGGGGAUCUUCGGAGCUAACGCUAUCAGAUGAGCCUAGGUCGGAUUAGCUAGUUGGUGGGGUAAAGGCCUACCAAGGCGACGAUCCGUAACUGGUCUGAGAGGAUGAUCAGUCACACUGGAACUGAGACACGGUCCAGACUCCUACGGGAGGCAGCAGUGGGGAAUAUUGGACAAUGGGCGAAAGCCUGAUCCAGCCAUGCCGCGUGUGUGAAGAAGGUCUUCGGAUUGUAAAGCACUUUAAGUUGGGAGGAAGGGCAGUAAGUUAAUACCUUGCUGUUUUGACGGUACCAACAGAAUAAGCACCGGCUAACUUCGUG
rnacentral:rRNA from 1 species